rnacentral:lncRNA from 1 species
UCUCAACUUAAAGUAUCCUUUUCAACAAGGCUCUACUUGGCUUCUCACUCUGUGGCCUCUUAAAAUUUCCAGAUUCUGAUGAGUCAGUGUUGGUGCAGAGUUAUGGAAUCCCUGACCUGGAAGAUCUAUUAGACAUCAUCCUAGCAUGCCCAUCUUACAGACUAUGUUACAGUCCUUUGAGAAGUUUUUGUGCCAAUAAAGAUGCACCAUUGCUGGAUGCCUCUGGGAAUAAUGAGACCCCGAAACCAGGAACACAGCCAUCCUCACAUGUAAGUUAUGGCCUAGCCAGGGCCAGCACAUGCAGCGCUUGGCUUUCUUCCCCAC